rnacentral:lncRNA from 1 species
CCACACCCCAGCAGCACAGACCAGCCUGGCCUCUCUGCCCCUCCUCCCCACCCUCAGUGCCUAAAGCUUCACACUUAGCUGCUCUCCCUCAAGUGGCCACCUCUUGUGGCUGGUGCCGAUCAGGAACAAAACGAGACGGGCUACGAAUUUGCACACAGCAUGCCCAGUGAUGGCUCGCUCAUCGGACCUUUCGUGUGAUAUUUCUUACAAUACUGCACGUUCACUUGCUUUCAGCAUUUUUGUAUUCAGGAGUAACGUAAGCUAGAGAUUCCGGCCAUAUAAGGAAGGGUGUUGGUGAAUCGCUCCUGAAAUAAGAAUCCCGCCAACCCUGUGAGACCUCAGGCAGAAGAAAGAGACACCCGAUGGGUGCGAUGGGUGCGGUGGUGAGCCUGGCCCCUCUUCUCCCUCCUCCCCCUGAGCCCCACGGAAACAGGGCGGCCCCUUCAAAUGGCACUUUCCUGCAGCCUCCUGCUGGCCAGGGGGUGGCGGCUGCUGGCAGGCUCUGCCCUGUUCUGUCCGCACCGUCCCCAGAGCCGGGUUCAGGAGUUUGGCCCCUGGGUGCUCUCAGCCCAGCGUCCUGGUUGGCUUGCCUCCUCCUUCCAGCCCCCUCCACUGCUGGGACCUCUGGCGGGCAACUGGUAGGUAUGCUGAGCACCCCCUAUGGGCCUCCGAGGAUCGUGUGCGCCUUCCCUGCCACACAGUGAGAGGCUCAAAGCACCCUCAGGACAGUGUGGGGAAGAUCUGGAAAUACAGGAUUUCUUCCGAGCAUGGUUCUUGGAGCUCCAGUCACUAGGACGACUCCAGGAGCAAGAGAUACAGAUAGAUAGAAACACAUUGACAUAGAAGUUUUAUAUAGCUAUAUUAGAAUGAUUUUUAGACACGACUUAUGGAAAGUUCUAGAGUUCUUGCAACUUGCUUUUAUCUCAGAGCCCCUUUCACAGGGUCUGUGUCCCCUUGUCCUUCGAUUGCCUUCUGCUCUUUGUGUCACAUUCAUCUUUGUCAGCACCUCAGAAACAUGAAGUAUUAAGGCCACUGUCUUUGAAGUGGACAGGACGUGUGGAAGCACGUGUUUCUUUGAGGCGCGAUCUUUGCCAGGGCUGGGGUGGAUUCAGGAAGCCAAUCCCAGUGCAGAACAAGAGACAGUGGCAGGAGGCAUUGGGAUGACAACUGCCACGCGGUGGUGGGAACUAGAAAGAGAUCAGAUCCCGGGGCUCUGAUGUCUGUUUCCAUCACCGUAGUAAGUGAGCCGUCUCAACUCUGCAGGCCAGUCAGUAACCGGCUUCACUAAAGAAGAGUAAUAGCCCCCGUGGAAUGUCAUCCCAUGGGUUCUACUGGAUGAACCACCUUGAUUUUGUGGUUUUCUUUCUAAUGUGCUCUGAAAUUGGGCUCCCACACAACUGGACGCAAAAGCUCACGCUACUGGAGGACAUCCUGCCGGCUUUCCAGUCCCUUCCCCAAGAACUUCCCUGGACGUCGGCCCCGUCGCGCUUCUCGACUGGUGUGCUCCAGGGACGGCCCCGUAAGACACGGUGCCAGCGCACAGUGUGUCUGACGUUGAGACCACUCGCCCUGUGAAUCCGUGCAGACUUUCCAAGAGCCGUUUAAAUGCUGUGGCGGUGCCUCCACGUAACUGGUGAAUUGCCUCGACCGCAUUCAUUUACUUUGGGCGCGAACAAAUGAGGGUCUAAGAGUGCUGGCGUUAAAGGAGCCCUCUCGUGCUGUAAAGUAACCAGAUGGCAGUCGGGCUAAAGGUCCCAGGAAAAACUCUAAGUGUGGAAUCGUGGGGGAAAGCCAAGGCACUACGUUGGCGUGAAGGGAAGGCAGAAACCCUGGAGGGUGAGACACAUGGGCAUCAAGAGCUGCCACCCCCGGCCGGUGGGACACCGUGACUCAGAUCAGGAAGGACAGAGUGGCGCAUCCGUCCCCCGAGAGACCCAGCUGUGUCUUCCUCCCAGUUGCUCCUUCAGGCAACAUGGCGGCACGCACACUCACUCGGGUGGGUGCCCCGUCCAGCCCCGUGCGGGCCUGUAUAGAAGGUGGCUCCACCUUCACCCUUCCGUGGUUUGCUUCGUGGCCUCCCGCUGUGGGGGGACUCCAGGGUGGACACCUGUCUGUACUAUAGGCCCUGCAACCUCUCCAUCUCCGUCUUCCCCCAGCCAUGUUUGAGGUCCUCGGCCCUUUCCUCUGUCCUUUAUCUCUGAUGGUCAUUGAGCCACCAGAUCCCGUCUGCCCUUGAUUAUGGUUGCCCCAGCUGCGCCUGCCUGCGUGCGGCCGUGUUUGAGUUGCAAGGGCGGUCCCGCAGUUGUCACCUGACUGACGGCAGCAUCCUUGUCUGGGGCUUUACGUAGGCCCGGGAACAUAGAUCUCCGCAAAACGGACCGUGUCUACAACCUUGCUCGGAUUGUAGCUCGCGAGACUAGCUCUGCUUUGUGAAGCUGGCAGGUGCUCCAAACAAAGAGAUAGGGAAAGCUGUGUUCCCUGUGACUGUGUGGCUAUAAUCCCAGACUUGCCCCCAAGGGAGGGAAAAACAGGCCUGGGAAGGGGGCUCUCAGGACUGUGCUGCCAUUGUCGCCAAACAUCCUUAGCUUCUACGUGUUUGCUUUGCUCUCGCUCCCGAGGUUGGUUCUGUGGGUGUUAUGGCAGCAGGGGCGCAGCGGGAUGCCUACGGCACGGCCGAUUGUCCGUGAACGUCUCAGGACGGGCCAGGACCUUCACUCCUUUCCUCAGCCAGAGGAGCACAGCAGGCUUUCAGGUGGGGAUGCUACUACGUGUAUGUCUUGUCAGGCGGCAGAGACAAGUGCAUCUUGAAGCCACGGCCGGAGCGAGCAGCAGGGGGGCUCUUGAAGGGAAGGAGAGGUGGAGGGAUUUCGGGCAGGGUAGGGGGAAGAAGAGGGGGCACAUGGUGUGGUCAGGAACCCCCAAAAAGCAGAGGGAUUUUGGUAGGACUGUUGGGGGGCAGAUGGUCAUGAGAAGCAGAGUGCAGAAAGCCUCGGGUGCCAGACGAAGAACUUUCAUCUCCACCUGCUUCCUGACGAGGAGCGAUUUUUUUUUAACAUCAAAGAAUUAUUCUAACACUGAGGAGGGGACGUUAGUGUAUAUCAUAACCUCUAGGGCGCGUGACUUUGAAGGCUGGCCUCCAAGUAUACACACGACAGUCAGCCAGAUGCUUCUGAUGUUCAUUAGGUGUUGACCCGGGACUCUUUGACGUGAGCACCUCAAAUGAUGUUCUCAGGAAUUGCCACUUGCUGUGGGCUCACGAGCUCAUCCCCUCUCAUGCUCCUACUGAUGUGUCUAUGACUUCACGACACAGGGACCCCCCCCCAGGAUUUGCAGGUCACCGAUUCAUCUUUCUUUGACCGCCUCAUGUAGAGGUAUCAUCCUGGGUGGGCCGCAAGACCUGUUGAAUGCUUGCUGGUGGACAUUUGGGUUGUUUCCAGCCCGGGGCCAUGGCAAAUAAAGCUGCUAUGAGCACUUGAGUGCAGUUUGUGUGUGUGUGUGGAUAUGUCUUCAUUUGUCCUGAGCGUA